rnacentral:rRNA from 1 species
CGGAGAUAUCUCGUUCUCCCCGAAAUAGCUUUAGGGCUAGCCUCGAUCGCUUACCGACGGUGGUAGAGCACUGGAUCCGUGCGGGGGCCUCACCGCCUACCAACCGAAACCAAACUCCGAAUGCCGUCGGUCCCGAGAUCGGGAGUCAGAACAUGUGGGCUAAGCCGUGUGUUCGAGAGGGAAACAGCCCAGACCGCCUGCUAAGGUCCCCAAAUCAACGCUGAGUGGCAAAGGAUGUGCGUUUGCCUAGACAACCAGGAUGUUGGCUUAGAAGCAGCCAUGCAUUUAAAGAGUGCGUAACAGCUCACUGGUCAAGUGGACAUGCGCCGACAAUACACGGGGCUAAGCGUUGUACCGAAGCAGCGGACUGUUUUAUCAGUGGUAGGGGAGCUUUCCAUGCCGGGGCGAAGCCGACGGGCGACCGUCGGUGGACUGCAUGGAAGUGAGAAUGCUGGCAUGAGUAACGAGAGAGGGGCGAGAAACCCCUCCGCCGUAAGCCUAAGGGUUCCUGGGCAAGGCUAAUCCCCCCAGGGUCAGUCGGGAGCUAAGGCGAGGCCGACAGGCGUAGCCGAUGCACAACAGGCGGACAUUCCUGUACCACCGCGGAGCGUUACUACGACGGGGUGACGGAGAAGGGUAGCCGGGCGGGGUUCUGGACGUCCCCGUGAAAGCGCGUAGGCCGCAGGGCAGGCAAAUCCGCCCUGCAGCAGGCCGAGACGUUAGACGAAGCUUCAUGUGAAGCCGGCGAGCCCAUGCUUCCGAGAAAAACCUCUAAGGAGCGAGGCGGUGCCCGUACCAAAACCGACACAGGUAGGCGGGUAGAGCAUACCAAGGCGAUCGGGAGAACCAUGGUUAAGGAACUCGGCAUACUGACUCCGUAACUUCGGGAGAAGGAGUGCCCCCGCCUGUGAGGUCCCACGCGGACGGAGCGGGAGGGGGUCGCAGCGAAACGGCCCAAGCGACUGUUUACCAAAAACACAGGACUCUGCAAAGCCGCAAGGCGACGUAUAGGGUCUGACGCCUGCCCGGUGCUGGAAGGUUACGCGGAUGAGUUAGCGCAAGCGAAGCCCUGAAGCCAAGCCCCAGUAAACGGCGGCCGUAACUAUAACGGUCCUAAGGUAGCGAAAUUCCUUGUCGGGUAAGUUCCGACCUGCACGAAUGGCGUAACGACUUGGGCGCUGUCUCAACCAUGGACCCGGUGAAAUUGUAUUAUUCGUGAAGAUGCGAAUUACCUGCGGAAGGACGGAAAGACCCCGUGAACCUUUACUGCAGCUUGGCAUUGGCUGUUGGUGCGGUGCGUAGAGGAUAGGCAGGAGCCUGCGAACCGGGAACGCCAGUUCC